CUGCUCAAGCCUACAUAAUAGACAGGUAAUAGAUAUUAAGUAAUAACUUUAAAAGUCUUGAUUCUGAAGUCAAAAUGUCUAUACCAGGAUUUAGUUUACACACCAAACUUUAUUCAGUUUCAGGUCUCCCCUCCCUCAUCUUGACAGCUGCAAAGGUGGUAGAUUCUUCUUUCUCCUACUGAUGCUUCCCUCCCCACUCCCCUGUACCUUCCAGGCAUUUUCUGAUCAGGUCAGAAAAUGAAAGCUUCAUGUACAAAUACUGAUCGGGGCUGACUUUGCACCCUGUGCCUGGCACAUAAAUAAGGCUUGCUCCUUCUCUUGUAGGUCCUGUCUUUGUUCUCUGGAGUUUCCGUCACCGAAAACCACUUUUGCUAUUGCUUUGAGCCUGGAAGGUAUAUCCUAUUUCAAGUGGAAAACCUUAGGAAUCUCAUGAUAAGCCUCAGCUUCUUACUGCUGUGUUUCUUCACUUUCUUAAGGGUGGCACCCAAGAUGGCCACAUGCCUGACCUUGAUCUUUCUCUAUUUCUAUGUAUCUGUUUAUCUCUGUAGGAACAAAUGUUGGGAUCAGAGGAAGGAUCCAUCACAGGGGUCUACACCCUGUCAUCAUUUCACGUUCUCAUCAUCAAGCACAACUCCUCCAUGUCGUUCAAAUGGUCUUCUGGAUUUUGCAGUUCUCUGCUUCAUUAGGACCAGGAACUUGUCUGAGCCCAGAGAGAGCCUGAGUGGUGACGUUCAAAGGGAGAAGAUAAGCCUGGACUUCUUGGAAAGGAUGUUAGAGGAAGACAAGAAUCAUAUUGAAUUUAUGGCCCAGGCAAAUUGCAUAUGACCUCAUCUUAACUUGAUGACAUCUACAAAGACUCCAUUUCCAGCUCACGGUGAAGGAACCCUGAGAGGACAGAGCUAUGUGAUGGAAUGAGCCAGGAUCCCUGAGUCCUCACCUAGAGAAGAGAUGUGCAGAAGAGCCACUCAACAGAUGGUGGUGUGCUGAUAAACAUUUAGUGACCCAUUUGGG
rnacentral:lncRNA from 1 species